rnacentral:rRNA from 1 species
AGGUGCUAAUACCGCAUAACCAUAGUUACCGCAUGGUAACUAUGUAAAAGGUGGCUAUGCUACCGCUUUUGGAUGGGCCCGCGGCGCAUUAGCUAGUUGGUGAGGUAAAGGCUUACCAAGGCAAUGAUGCGUAGCCGAACUGAGAGGUUGAUCGGCCACAUUGGGACUGAGACACGGCCCAAACUCCUACGGGAGGCAGCAGUAGGGAAUCUUCCACAAUGGGCGAAAGCCUGAUGGAGCAACGCCGCGUGGGUGAAGAAGGUCUUCGGAUCGUAAAACCCUGUUGUUAGAGAAGAAAGUGCGUGAGAGUAACUGUUCACGUUUCGACGGUAUCUAACCAGAAAGCCACGGCUAACUACGUGCCAGCAGCCGCGGUAAUACGUAGGUGGCAAGCGUUAUCCGGAUUUAUUGGGCGUAAAGGGAGCGCAGGCGGUCUUUUAAGUCUGAUGUGAAAGCCUUCGGCUUAACCGGAGUAGUGCAUUGGAAACUGGGAGACUUGAGUGCAGAAGAGGAGAGUGGAACUCCAUGUGUAGCGGUGAAAUGCGUAGAUAUAUGGAGGAACACCAGUGGCGAAAGCGGCUCUCUGGUCUGUAACUGACGCUGAGGUUCGAAAGCGUGGGUAGCAAACAGGAUUAGAUACCCUGGUAGUCCACGCCGUAAACGAUGAAUGCUAAGUGUUGGAGGGUUUCCGCCCUUCAGUGCUGCAGCUAACGCAAUAAGCAUUCCGCCUGGGGAGUACGACCGCAAGGUUGAAACUCAAAGGAAUUGACGGGGGCCCGCACAAGCGGUGGAGCAUGUGGUUUAAUUCGAAGCAACGCGAAGAACCUUACCAGGUCUUGACAUCUUCUGACAAUCCUAGAGAUAGGACUUUCCCUUCGGGGACAGAAUGACAGGUGGUGCAUGGUUGUCGUCAGCUCGUGUCGUGAGAUGUUGGGUUAAGUCCCGCAACGAGCGCAACCCUUAUUGUUAGUUGCCAGCAUUAAGUUGGGCACUCUAGCAAGACUGCCGGUGACAAACCGGAGGAAGGUGGGGAUGACGUCAAAUCAUCAUGCCCCUUAUGACCUGGGCUACACACGUGCUACAAUGGACGGUACAACGAGUCGCAAGACCGCGAGGUUUAGCAAAUCUCUUAAAGCCGUUCUCAGUUCGGAUUGUAGGCUGCAACUCGCCUACAUGAAGUCGGAAUCGCUAGUAAUCGCGGAUCAGCAUGCCGCGGUGAAUACGAACGCGGGCCUUGCACGCACCGCCCGUCA